AAACCCUCAAGCACUGCUUGGUGUUGGGCGUUUGUCCCCCGCGGACUCGCCUCAAAAGCAUUGGCAGCCCCCGGCGCAGCGCAGCACUCGCGCCCCAGACCGGCGGCGUCCACAAGACCACCCCCAA
rnacentral:misc_RNA from 1 species